CAUGAGAGAUUGUGAAAAGAAUAUCUGAACUUUAGAAACUGUAGUUGGUAGCUGAAAGAAAAAGAUAAAAUUUAGUAUCCUUUGUCUCAUCUCUGCCUAACUCUCCACUCAACACUCCUGAACUGCCUCACUCGUUCCCCAGCUCCAGGAGAACCAGGGAUGUCCACGCUCUGAGUCUCAUGAUCUUCUGCCUACAGGAAGCCUAUCCCACCCCUGACCCAAAGUUGGUUAACUUGCAUUUUUGCUUUUCAAGCUAGUUCUAGUUUCACUUCCCCGUGGUAGCCCGGGGUGAGAGUUUUGAUUCUGCCCGAGUUUGCUUCUUACUCCAUUAAUGGUAUCUUCAAGCCAAUGGGCCAACGAAUGGUGAUUCCCCACUGGACUCCUAUCUUGGUGUCCUGCUCCUAUGGACAGGAGCCCUCAGGCUAUGCUCUGAAAGAUGGCUGCUACCCAUGCUGGAUGUCUACUCUGUUCAGAUGAUGCUUCAGACUCAACCUGAAUCUUGCUUUUCCUGUACAGGAAAGGUAUUAUGGGAGCAAGGAUUUGGGGAAUCCACACAAGGGAAUGAUGGCUGACCUGGGAGGGUCCAUUACAGCUGCAACAAGCCGCAUCUGCCUUGAGUGAAAUUAUUCCUAGAUAAUGAGAGAGCCUCCUUUUGGGGACCCCGGGUGGGAGAAUGGAGUGGGAAGGUUGGUGCCACUUCCUUGUUUUGUUCGCAGAACUUGGUAAGUAAGAUUCUUUCCUGCCUUCCAAGUAUCUGGUUGGUGCUCAGCUCAAUUCAGGCCUGCUGUGUGGUUUUGGAGACCCAACGGCAGUUCUACAGAGGUUAGAGAGGUCAGGAGAACGAGGUGAAGAAGGGGCCAGUGGGAGAUGGAAGUUAGAUUACAGUGGAUUAAGGAAGCUAGGAGAGAGUGAGGACCCUGCCAGAUGCUUUGACUAUUAAAAGAGGGAGAGAAGUCAUAAAAGCACGAAGGAAAAGCAGGGUCAGGUCAAGGCUUUUUCUAAAUCAGACCAAAGACAGUAAGUACUUCAAGGUCAGAGAAUGGAGUUAGUGGCAUAAAAACCUGAGAGUUUUGAAGGGAGAAGAGUUUACGUGGAGGUGGGAAUGAAGCUUCCCAGGAGGUGCACUGCUGUUCUUGGAGAAACCUAUAACCCUGUCAGGUUUGGCAUUAAGGAAUGAGUUUAGAGCAGCAUUGUUCAAUAGAAAUAUAAUGCUAGCCAUGUGUGGUGGCUGACGCCUGGAAUCCCAAAUCCUUGGGAGGCCAAGGUGGGAGGAUUGCUUGAGGCCAGGAGUUUGAGACCAGCCUGGGCAGCAUAAGCAAGACCCCAUCUGUACAAAAUAGAAAUAAAAAAUUAGCUGAGUGUGGUGGUGCACAGCCAUAGUUCCAGCUACUCAGGAGGCUGAUGAAGGAAGAUCGCCUGAGCCCAGGAGUUUGAGGCUGCAGUGAGCUAUGAUCAAGACAGAGCAAGAUUCUGCCUCAAAAA